rnacentral:rRNA from 1 species
AAAUGAAUUGACGGGGGCCCGCACAAGCGGUGGAGCAUGUGGUUUAAUUCGAUGCAACGCGAAGAACCUUACCAGGUCUUGACAUCCUUAGGAUGCGUAUGAAAGUAUGCAGUGCCCUUAAGUGGGAGCUAAGAGACAGGUGGUGCAUGGUUGUCGUCAGCUCGUGUCGUGAGAUGUUGGGUUAAGUCCCGCAACGAGCGCAACCCUUGCUAUUAGUUGCUAACAGGAAAGCUGAGCACUCUAAUGGGACUGCCGGUGACAAGCCGGAGGAAGGUGGGGAUGACGUCAAAUCAUCAUGCCCUUUAUGAUCUGGGCUACACACGUGCUACAAUGGGUGGUACAAAGAGAAGCGAAGGCGUGAGUCCAAGCAAAUCUCAAAAAGCCACUCUCAGUUCGGAUUGUAGUCUGCAACUCGGCUACAUGAAGUCGGAAUCGCUAGUAAUCGCGGAUCAGCAUGUCGCGGUGAAUGCGUUCCCGGGCCUUGUACACACCGCCCGU